rnacentral:rRNA from 1 species
UACGUAGGGGGCAAGCGUUGUCCGGAUUUACUGGGCGUAAAGGAGCGAUGUAGGCGGCCAAGCAGGUCCGUUGUGAAAACUGGAGGCUUAACCUCCAGACGUCGACGGAAACCGCGUGGCUAGAGUCCGGAAGAGGAGAGUGGAAUUCCGUGGUGUAGCGGUGAAAUGCGCAGAUAUCAGGAAGAACACCAAUGGCGAAGGCAGCUCUCUGGGACGGUACUGACGCUGAGACGCGAAAGCGUGGGGAGCGAACAGG